ACGUAAAAACCUCACACUAAGUGACAUAAGCCAGACACAGAAGGACAAAUACCGUAUGAUUCCACUUAGCUCAGGUACUUCAAUAGGCAAACUCAUAGAGACAGCAAGUAGAACAGCAGUGACCAGGGGCUGGGACGAGGAGAGAAUGGGUACAGAGUUUGUGCUGGGGAUGAUGAAAAAGUUCUGGGUGUAGACAGUGGUGACUGUGAAUGUAUUUAAUGCCACUGAAUUGUACACUUACAAAUGGAUAAAAUGAUAAGUAUUGUGUUAUGCAUAUUUUACCACAAUAAAAAAAUUUUUUUAAAACCUCAGAACUUCAGCUGCCAAAACGAAUGAAUGAAUGAAUGAAUGAAUGAAUGAAUGAGACCUUCACUCUUCCCUGAUCAAGAUUUUCCUGGUUGCAUCAUCAAAUAGACAAAGUGAGAAAACAGCAUGCUGUACCGGGGUAGGGACAGCGACUGGGGCAGUCUCUCUACCUGGGCCUCAGUUUCGCCAACUGUGAAAUCAAGGCAUCUGCCCCAUCGGACCAGAUGUGGAGCCUGUGACCAGAUGUCAUCUUUCCUCUCUUCAGUCUCACAGCUAAUUCUAGGAAGGUGCUGGCACUAGGAAGAGCUCUGGCUUAGCCAGCCACCUCUCACUGUGCCCACGCCACUUCCCCUGGGAGACUCCUUUUCUCACCUGUGAAAUGCGGAGACUAAUGACAAAGCUACUGUCUCUACCCCUGCUUCCCUUACACACUGGCUGCGGCUCCCUCAGAAGAUCACAAAGGUGAGGUGGAUGGAGCCCUAGCUUCUUCCCUGAGCUGGCUGCCUGGAAAAAGCCACCCCGGCCAGGUAACUCAAGGGACUAGGAAAAUCCUGGCUGCACUCAAGCUUGGCAAGGAGGCUGAGGGGCAGGAGAAAUGAAGGAGAACUCUCCAAGGCCUGCCUUGUUGUCCAACCAACACCUACUUCAUUUUUCCUUAGGUG
rnacentral:lncRNA from 10 species